AUCAUUGAUGAAGCAAAUAGCUCCUGGUGUCAUGCUCCCUCUGUCAGCUUGUCAGCUCUUCCCACUACUAGGUUACCCAGCAGAGGAUCCCCUGCACGCCUCCCAGAGCCCUCAUGCACACCCAGGGACGUGUGGGCACACAUGCAAGCCUGCGCACACACAGGCAGCGGCACACGUGCACAGACAGGUGCCCAGUGCAGGUGUUGCAGGGCAUGCCCCUACUUGAACCACCCUACUGCAAAGGCUGCUGGACAGAUGCUGAACAGCAUGGAAGGAGCAGGGGAAAGCAGGGCUGGGAGGUUUUACUCAAGCUCGUGUCCCUUAAGGAACCCAGCUCCAGAGGGGGACCAGUCAGGGCAAGGGAGACGUGGAAACCGCCAAGAGCAAAAAUCCUGCAGCCGUGGAGCACACACAAGCCGGGAACCGCCAGCAACCACAAGGACCAUGUUUCAAGGGCAAAGCUUCCCUCCUCCUGUCUGAGGCCACAGAGAUUGAUGGAGAAAAUCCAUAGCAAAUAUUUAUGGCUCUGCCAUAAAUAACCCUUUCCUGGACUUCCAAGGAGUUCUGCGGAGUUUCAAGGCCUUCAGUGUGGAAUUUGCACAAGAAGCUGAAUUGCUCCUGAUCCCUAAAUGAUUGGUCAGAGGAUUUGCAUGAGGAAGCAGAAAUUAAUUAUUCUUUUCUUGUCUCUUUAUUUCCCGUAAUUGUGUGUUUAGAAAUGCGAUUACAUUCUCCCGCCGCACGAGGGGCUGGGGGAGGUGCUUUGCAUGCAUUUAGUGCCUCUCGGUUAAGACCACCUAAUCGUUUCAAGCAUUUCCUCAGAUUCUCGCCCUCUUUUUCUGCUCUAACGACUAAACAAAGAUGGUGCAGCUUCCCCGGGAAUGCUCUUGGCAGCAAAGCAGGGCGCAGGGAGAUGGAGGUGCAGGGCCGGGGGGGUGAGGGCAGCUAGUCCUCAUGUGAAAUGGUCCUUUCUGCUCCUCUUGGCUGGCAGGGGCAGAGGCAGGAGAGGGCUAUGCCAGCCGGAGGUGUUAGAUGUGUCCUAAAGCCACCAGCCUUGCUCUGGGCACGAGGCUGCUGGGUUCAGUGGGGCAGCAGGUGUUUCCCACCCUGUCCCGUACAGGCAGCUCAGUCCUGUCCUCCCCACUCCCCUUCAAUCCACAACCUGGCAGG